rnacentral:tRNA from 1 species
GAGAGUAUAGCUCAAUGGUAGAGCACAUGCUUAGCAUGCAAGAAGUCCUGGGUUCAAUCCCCAGUACCUCCA